rnacentral:rRNA from 1 species
CAGAUUGACGGUACCGUAAGAAUAAGGAUCGGCUAACUCCGUGCCAGCAGCCGCGGUAAUACGGAGGGUGCGAGCGUUGUCCGGAUUUAUUGGGUUUAAAGGGUGCGUAGGUGGCUUAAUAAGUCAGUGGUGAAAUACAGCCGCUCAACGGUUGAGGUGCCAUUGAUACUGCUAAGCUUGAAACAAGUGGAGGUUGCCGGAAUGGAUGGUGUAGCGGUGAAAUGCAUAGAUAUCAUCCAGAACACCGAUUGCGAAGGCAGGUGACUACGUUUGAUUUGACACUGAGGCACGAAAGCAUGGGGAGCAAACAGGAUUAGAUAC